UACACACUUCCUUAGAUCCGCUCCUGGGGCUGCCGUAGCAGCUGUUGGACUGGGUAGUGACAGCGUGGGAGAUGGCUUGACCUUGGUGUCGGCUGCCUUCUCUUGCUGCUCCAUACUGCCCUUUCCGGCCGCUCGCAGUGCAGCCCAACAGCCUUUUAGCUGCACAUUGGGAGUGCAUGAGUCAUGGGUGUGUGACAGUAGCCUACUUCACGGUUGCCUGCUUUGUUAUUAGAGAUGUGCUCUUUGCAUUGCAAUGCUCUUUUGACAAUGGUGACUGUGGAACAUA